rnacentral:tRNA from 2 species
GGAUGUAGUUCAGUUGGUUAGAGCGUCAGAUUGUGGUUCUGAAUGUCGUGGGUUCGAGUCCCAUCUUC